rnacentral:lncRNA from 7 species
AUGGAUGAGAUGAUCAAUUUCUACCCUGUUGGGUUCACCGUGAGCUACAUCUGCCGCCCCGGCUACAAGAACAUCUCAGAAAGCCAACCCACCAGCACCUGCCUUGAGAGCCUGAUGUGGUCGGAGGUCCCGGAGUUAUGCCAGACUGGAUAUAACAUAUGCACGGGACAAGUGCCAGCUUGCAGGGAGGAUUUCUAGCACUGAAGACCAAGCGUGUUCCCUAAUGAAAUCCAUAUAGCAUUAAGAAGGAUGGUGUGGCAGCCGGAAAUCCUGCGGUCCCCCAGCGGCCCCACCUGCAGGGAGGACCCUCAGCCCCACAGACUUUCUGUUUGGCACACGUGUGAGCGUGCUCUGCAAUGAGGGUACCAACUCCACGGCAGGAAUUUCAUCCAGUGUUGGCUUAAAGGAGAUGACGUUGAGUGGAGUAAACUUCCAACCUGUGAACUAAUCACCUGCUCUUCACCCCCUCGGAUCAGCAAUGGGAGGCACAAUGGUGAAGGUGUAGAAAAGUUUGCUUACAACUCAACAGUGACCUACAGCUGUGAUCCCGGCUUCCAACUCAUUGGGAAUGAGAGCAUCCGUUGUACGAGAGCAGACAAUGCAGGAGGGGCAUGGAGUGGAGCAGUGCCCCAUUGUAAAGAGAAAAGCCCACCUGUCCAACUCAGAGCAAAACCCAUGGAAAGGGGUCCUCCUCCCCGCAGUUCCCAGAGACACAGCCUCAAAGCACCCAAAAAGACUUUCACGAUGGAAAUGAAACUCAGCCUCUAUAAGAAGGCACUCCAAAACACCAACUCCUUCUCCCCUUCUUCUUCAUUCUCCAGGAAGCCAGAACCCACCAGAGAUCUCCGUGUUCUCCCAAGUACCGCAGCAUCUCUGCUGUUCUCCCCAAGGCCGGCUGCUCUGACAACAUAUGGUGGUCUAAAGCUGCAGCAUUUUGUGGGAGCGGUCGUGGGCAGCCAGGAGAACCCAGACAUGGCAGAAGUGCUGCUAUCACCGGUUUCCCAUCCGCUGCAAAGGGCUCUUUUACCUGUAGGAGUGGAUGAAAAUUAUGGGCGCCAGCGUUGGCUGAUGGCCACAGCUGCCUCUCCCAUCGGAGAUGUUAGCAGUUCAUAGAACCACAGAAUGGCCUGGGUUGAAAAGGACCACAGUGAUCAUCUCAUUUCAACCCCCUGCUAUGUGCAGGGUGGCCAACCACCAGACCAGGCUGCCCAGAGCCACAUCCAGCCUGGAGCAGUCAGCUCGAAGGUCACAGAUCCACUCAUCAAUCCCUCUGAGCAGAGCAGGCUGUGGUUUCCCCAACCCCCUUUGAGCCAUUUGCAGUAUUUCAGUCCGAGCUCCACAGUGUCACAAUCUCUUACAGUCAGAGUUUCCCCCACCACCUAUUUCCUCACUCCUUAGCAACACAGGCCACUGCCACAGCAAUUGGCACAAACACAAAGGCACACGGGGAGCUCAGGAGGAGACUCGGAUAUCCACAGUGCUCCCUUGGCUGCAGCAGUCUGGGGCUGUCACAGCCGUAGUGCAACCAGAGCGCUGCCUUCCUCGCCUUGCAAAGCAUUGCCCUCCUGUUAGGAAACCAUAGCACUUUGCACAAGAAAUUGAAUAUUGGCCUUUUGAUCUUUGGCACUGUAAGCACUUUCAUUGGCAAAAGCUUUUUGCUGUUGUUGUAUCAAAUCUAUGUAUUUUUUUUUGCCACUUAUAUUUCCACUGAGCCUACAGGAAAGCUAACAAGCAUUGCACCCUGUGCUCUUGUGUCAUCCCACUGCAACAGAGGAAGCAGAAAUGUCGGUGUUACAUCAUUAGCUGUCAUCUCUGUCCCAUUUUGCACUGUAACUGCCUUGUUAGGUGCCUGGGUCUUUAUUUACAGUUCAUAAUAAAUGAUGACUUUCUCAG